GGGAACUGAAAACGGGACGACCCUUCGGGAGCCUAUACAGGUUGUUGCAUGGCUGUCGUCAGCUCGUGUCGUGAGAUGUUCGGUUAAGUCCGCUAACGAGCGCAACCCUCGUCGUAUGUUAUAUGUGCCAUACGAGACUGCCGGUAAAAGCCGGAGGAAGGUGAGGAUGAUGUCAAGUCAGCAUGACCUUUAUAUCCAGGGCUACACACACGCUACAAUGGUCUGUACAAUGGGUAGCCAAGCCGCGAGGCGGAGCCAAUCCUGAAAGCAGGCCUCAGUUCAGAUUGCAGUCUGCAACUCGAUUGCAUGAAGCCGGAGUUGCUAGUAACCGCAGGUCAGCAAUACUGCGGUGAAUACGUUCCCGGGUCUU
rnacentral:rRNA from 1 species